CCACCUCUCCGCUCCCUUCCCGGUCCCGAGGCUGUGCGCGGGGAGACGUGGAAGGAGAGAGGCGCGGGGCGGGAGGCGCAGAGCGGGGAGCGCGCGUGACGCUGCGGCGCGUCACGUGAGGCGCCGGCGGCCAUGGCGGGAAGCGAGCCCCUCAGCCGAGGCAGCUCCCCUCAGGCGCACCACAGCGACUGGAGCCGGCUAGAGGCCGCCAUCCUCAGCGGCUGGAGGAACUUCUGGCAGUCGGUGGGCAAAGAGAGGGCAGCGCCGAGGGCCUCUCAAGAGGAGGCGGAGGAGGAGGCUAGUACCCUGACGCGGCUGCCGAUUGACGUACAGCUAUAUAUUUUGUCAUUUCUUUCACCUCAUGAUCUGUGUCAGUUGGGAAGUACAAGCCAUUAUUGGAAUGAAACUGUACGAGAUCCAAUUUUGUGGAGAUAUUUUCUGCUGCGGGAUCUUCCUUCUUGGUCUUCUGUUGACUGGAAGUCUCUUCCAGAUCUAGAAAUCUUAAAAAAACCUAUAUCUGAGGUUACUGAUGGUGCAUUUUUUGACUACAUGGCAGUCUAUAAAAUGUGCUGUCCAUAUACAAGAAGAUCCUUGAAAUCUAGCCGUCCUAUGUAUGGAGCUGUCACAUCAUUUUUACACUCAUUGAUCAUUCAGAAUGAACCACGAUUUGCUAUGUUUGGACCAGGUUUGGAAGAACUGAAUACAUCUUUGGUGUUGAGCUUGAUGUCUUCUGAGGAACUUUGCCCAACAGCUGGUUUGCCUCAGAGGCAGAUUGAUGGUAUUGGAUCUGGAGUCAGUUUUCAGUUGAGCAACCAACAUAAAUUCAACAUCCUGAUAUUAUAUUCAACUACCAGAAAGGAAAGAGAUAGAGCAAGAGAAGAGCAUACAAGUGCAGUUAACAAGAUGUUCAGUGUACAGAAUGAAGGAGAUGAUCAACAAGGAAGCCGGUAUAGUGUAAUUCCACAAAUUCAGAAGGUGUGUGAAGUUGUUGAUGGAUUCAUCUAUGUUGCAAAUGCUGAAGCUCAUAAAAGACAUGAAUGGCAAGAUGAAUUUUCUCAUAUUAUGGCAAUGACAGAUCCAGCUUUUGGAUCUUCAGGAAGACCUAUGCUGGUUUUAUCUUGUAUUUCUCAAGCAAAUGUAAAAAGAAUGCCCUGUUUUUAUUUGGCUCAUGAGCUGCGUCUAAAUCAUCUAAACCACCCAUGGAUGGUCCAGGAUACAGAGGCUGAAACUCUAACUGGUUUUUUGAAUGGCAUUCAGUGGAUUCUUGAAGAAGUAGAAUCUAAGCAUGCAAGAUGAUCCUCCUUUUAGAUCUGGGGAACUGAAACCACUUUAAACUUGUUACUAAGGUCAUGAUGUGGAUAUUUGCUCAGUCAGCCAAUUUUGUCCUGCCUUUUUGCAGUUUCUUAUUAAUAAUCCCUUGGGAAAAUUGGGCAGCUAUAUACAGAAGAAUGAAACUUGACCUCUCUCUAACACCAUACACAAAGAUAAACUCAAAAUGGAUGAAAGACAUCAACGUGAGACAGGAAUCCAUCAAAAUCCUAGAGGAGAACAUAGGCAGUAACCUCUUUGACAUCAGCCGUGGCAACUUCUUUCAAGAUACCUCUCCAAAGGCAAGUGAAACAAAAGCAAAAAUGAACUUUUGGGACUUCAUCAAGAUAAAAAGCUUCUGCACAGCAAGGGAAACAGUCAACAAAACAAAGAGGCAACCCACAGAAUGGAAAAAGAUAUUUGCAAAUGGGACUACGGACAAAGGGCUGAUAUCCAAGCUCUAUAAAGAACUUCUCAAACUCAACACCCAAAAAACAAAUAAGUCAAAAAAUGGGCAGAAGACAUGAACAGACACUUUUCAAAAGAAGACAUAAAAAUGGCUAACAGAUACUUAAAAAAAUGUUAGCCAUUUUUUGUCAUUAUCAUUAGCCAUCAGGGAAAUUCACCAAAUCAAAACCACACUGAGAUACCACCUUACACCAGUUAUAAUGGCAAAAAUUGACAAGGCAAGAAAAAUUUGUUGGAAAGGUUGUGGAGAAAGAGGAACCUUCUUACACUGUUGGUGGGAAUGCAAGUUGGUACAGCCACUUUGGAGAACAGUGUGGAGGUUCCUCAAAAAAUUGAAAAUAGAGCUACCCUAUGACCCAGCAAUUGCACAGAUGUAGUGAAAAGAAGGGACAUACGCACCCCAAUGUUCAUGGCAGCAAUGUCCACAAUAGCCAAACUGUGGAAAGAGCCGAGAUGCCCUUCAACAGACACAGAUGUAGUGAAAGGAAGGGCCCCAAAGACACAAGAUGUGAACUGGGGUAUUUACCUCAAAGACACAGAUGUAGUGAAAAGAAGGGCCAUAUGCACCCAAUGUUCAUAGCAGCAAUGUCUGCAAUAGCAAAACUGUGGAAAGAACCGAGAUGCCCUUCAACAGAUGAAUGGGUAAAGAUGAUGUGGUCCAUACAUACAAUGGAAUAUUACUCAGCCAUCAGAAAGGAUGAAUAUCCAACUUUUACAUCAACAUGGAUGGGACUGGAGGAGAUUAUGCUAAGUGAAAUAAGUCAAGCAGAGAAAGUCAAUUAUCAUACGGUUUCACUUAUUUGUGGAACAUAAGGAAUAGCAUGGAGGAUUUUAGGAGAAGGAAGGGAAAAUGAAGGG